CAUAGCUUAAUUGGCUAGAGCGUCGACACGGUAUGUCGAAGACGCGGGUUCGAAUCCCGCUGGAGCGGUCAAUUUUUGAUAUGAUAUUCAAAAAUGUUUAGAAUUCCUAAUUGUGGGUAACACAAAAAUAAAAAUCGUACAUAUUAAAAAUAGCAUGGUGUCGUCUCCUGUCAAAGAUUUUCAUUGUAAUAUGAAACUUUGAAUAGUUACGAGUCUCUGUAAAGAACUCACUAUAGACGGCGCCACGGUUCGCUUAAACCGAAAGUAAAAAUCAUCAUAUCAAAAGUUUCGACACAGUUGAAGGCUUU
rnacentral:misc_RNA from 1 species